rnacentral:rRNA from 1 species
CCUACGGGCGGCAGCAGUGGGGAAUAUUGGACAAUGGGGGGAACCCUGAUCCAGCCAUGCCGCUUGUGUGAAGAAGGCCCUCGGGUUGUAAAGCACUUUCAGUGAGGAAGAACGCCUGGUGGUUAAUACCCAUCAGGAAAGACAUCACUCACAGAAGAAGCACCGGCUAACUCCGUGCCAGCAGCCGCGGUAAUACGGAGGGUGCGAGCGUUAAUCGGAAUUACUGGGCGUAAAGCGCGCGUAGGUGGCUUGAUAAGCCGGUUGUGAAAGCCCCGGGCUCAACCUGGGAACGGCAUCCGGAACUGUCAAGCUAGAGUGCAGGAGAGGAAGGUAGAAUUCCCGGUGUAGCGGUGAAAUGCGUAGAGAUCGGGAGGAAUACCAGUGGCGAAGGCGGCCUUCUGGACUGACACUGACACUGAGGUGCGAAAGCGUGGGUAGCAAACAGGAUUAGAUACCCUAGUAGUC